GAACGCCCGGGCUUCGGCCUGGUUAUUCAUAACCCUUUGUUGUCCGACUCUGUUGCCUCCGGGGCGACCCUGCCUUCGGGCGGGGGCUCCGGGUGGACACUUCAAACUCUUGCGUAACUUUGCAGUCUGAGUAAACUUAAUUAAUAAAUUAAAACUUUUAACAACGGAUCUCUUGGUUCUGGCAUCGAUGAAGAACGCAGCGAAAUGCGAUAAGUAAUGUGAAUUGCAGAAUUCAGUGAAUCAUCGAAUCUUUGAACGCACAUUGCGCCCCCUGGUAUUCCGGGGGGCAUGCCUGUUCGAGCGUCAUUUCACCACUCAAGCCUCGCUUGGUAUUGGGCAACGCGGUCCGCCGCGUGCCUCAAAUCGUCCGGCUGGGUCUUCUGUCCCCUAAGCGUUGUGGAAACUAUUCGCUAAAGGGUGUUCGGGAGGCUACGCCGUAAAACAACCCCAUUUCUAAGGUUGACCUCGGAUCAGGUAGGGAUACCCGCUGAACUUAAGCAUAUC
rnacentral:rRNA from 1 species